UUAAAUACAUUGAUAGACAUGGGACUUCCUCCCAAGUGAGCUUGUUUUAAGUCACUAAGCUUGACUCUUACAGAGUUUAGUCAGAAAAAAGGUUGAAGAGAGGAACAGAGAAGUCCUCAUCUUAAGUUGUUGAAUUUUUAGUGCUUGAAUCAAACUCUGCAUCCUCUCUUGAUAUAUGGUAGGAUGAGUACUUAUUUGAUUUUUCUUCAAAGUAAGCUUCUUUCUGAUCAGCAGAGUAAUCUUCUUCUUCUGAACCAGGUUCCUUUGACCAAUCCUCAAAUUCAAAACUGGGGUAGCCUUUAACCAUUUCUUGAAGUUCCAAGAUUGCAUGGUUCAGUCCUUCCAUCUUGUAAGUUAGCUCCCCAAUGGUAU
rnacentral:sRNA from 1 species